AUGUAAUUGUUUGUCCAACAAGACGCAUACAAAUUAAAUCACUUGCAAAGUAGCGACUGUAUUAUGUUAACUAUGCUUUUGAAAUUAUUAAUUAUUUGUAUUAUAUCCCAAAUGACGUUGCAGUGGAGAAUGCCGAUUAGAACAAAUAAAACCUAUUUUAGAACAAUCAGUUAUAGUGUCCCUAAAAGGAUACUCGGAGUUUCUACUAAACCCCGGUUAUAUAUCGUUCCGACAAUAACAAAUUCGAAACAAGAAACUUUUAACCAGAAUAGUUCUACCGUUAUGGACGAAGAUGAAAUUCCAAAUAUCUCUGAUAAGGCGGACAAUGAAAUUGUAAACAAUAUAAUGGAAGAAACGAAUGGAAAUGCCACUAGCAUUGAACAUUUUUAUGAUGAUUCUCCGGUAAAUGACAUUGUCUCCGAAAAUGAAAUGAACACUGAUAUCGAGGAAAGCAAUGAAGAUGCUGAUAAUUGAAUUAAGUGGAAGUUAUUCUAGUACUAGUAUUUACUCUAGUAUAUUAUUAAAACCUUAGUAGUAAUUUACUAGUAACUUAUGCUCUUUGGGCAUUCCUCGUUUAGCACUUGAAUAUUAUAUACGCAUACCCUCACAUAUUAUCAGAAGCUUAGAACAGAUCUAAAUGGACAGUUCAGGAGGAAGCCUUUAGCCAAAUGAAGAAUUUUUAAACACUGCAAAAUAAUAGAAAAUAUAAAUAAAUGCCUUCUAGUAGAGCACUUUUUUCGAGCUGACAUAAAAAAAAAAAACGUGUGGAGCUUGACGUACAGACUCGUGCAGUAACGCAAAUUCGGCUUUGUACAUCGACAGCAAACAACGUAUAUAUAUACCCAGUCAGAUAUUAGAUAGCCUAACACUAACCAACAUAAACAAUAAAAAAACUUUACUUUACUUUCAUAUGCAGUUGUCCCGCUGCUAAAUAAGAUUGCUAUGGUUACAUUAUUACAAACCACAGCAGUUUUCCUAAUGUAACAUAUUUUUUCUUAUGUAUCUUAUAUUAUUUUUUAUAUAAAUAAAAAAGAAGGGUAGACCCCCUUCAGAACACACAGUAACGGAAAUAACGUAGAUUAAGAGUAUAAUAAAAAACUAACUAAUGUGUAAUUGUUCUAACAGUGUAAAUUGGCUUUAUUAUUAUUGUGACCUAUUCGACAAUGAAGCCGCAUAUGAUGUAUGAACAUGAUUGACUCAAAAUCUACUCAAUAGUUUUUAGACGGUAUUCGCCAAUAGAUAAUGUGAUUUUGAAGUAAGGUUUAUGUAUAUUUCAAUAUACGGAGACGGUUUGAUAUGUGAAUUACUUUUUUAAUAAAGAACAUUUUUUCAGCACA